UACAGAGGGUGCAAGCGUUGUUCGGAAUUAUUGGGCGUAAAGGGCGCGUAGGCGGUGCGGUAAGUCCGCAGUGAAAUCUCUGGGCUCAACUCAGAGUCUGCUGUGGAAACUGCCGUGCUUGAGUGUGGGAGAGGUGAGUGGAAUUCCCAGUGUAGCGGUGAAAUGCGUAGAUAUUGGGAGGAACACCAGUGGCGAAGGCGGCUCACUGGACCGGUUCUGACGCUGAGGCGCGAAAGCGUGGGGAGCAAACGGG
rnacentral:rRNA from 1 species